rnacentral:rRNA from 1 species
GUCGGGAAUUUUGCGCAAUGGAGGAAACUCUGACGCAGUGACGCCGCGUGCAGGAAGAAGGUUUUCGGAUUGUAAACUGCUUUAGACAGGGAAGAAAAAAGACAGUACCUGUAGAAUAAGCUCCGGCUAACUACGUGCCAGCAGCCGCGGUAAUACGUAGGGAGCAAGCGUUAUCCGGAUUUAUUGGGUGUAAAGGGUGCGUAGACGGGAAGAUAAGUUAGUUGUGAAAUCCCUCGGCUUAACCGAGGAACUGCAACUAAAACUGUUUUUCUUGAGUACUGGAGAGGAAAGUGGAAUUCCUAGUGUAGCGGUGAAAUGCGUAGAUAUUAGGAGGAACACCAGUGGCGAAGGCGACUUUCUGGACAGAAACUGACGUUGAGGCACGAAAGUGUGGGGAGCAA